rnacentral:rRNA from 1 species
UGGGGAAUUUUGGACAAUGGGCGCAAGCCUGAUCCAGCCAUGCCGCGUGCAGGAUGAAGGCCUUCGGGUUGUAAACUGCUUUUGUACGGAACGAAAAGGUGCCUUCUAAUAAAGGGCGCUCAUGACGGUACCGUAAGAAUAAGCACCGGCUAACUACGUGCCAGCAGCCGCGGUAAUACGUAGGGUGCGAGCGUUAAUCGGAAUUACUGGGCGUAAAGCGUGCGCAGGCGGUUUUGUAAGACAGAGGUGAAAUCCCCGGGCUCAACCUGGGAACUGCCUUUGUGACUGCAAAGCUGGAGUGCGGCAGAGGGGGAUGGAAUUCCGCGUGUAGCAGUGAAAUGCGUAGAGAUGUGGAGGAAUACCGAUGGCGAAGGCAGCCCCCUGGGUUAGUACUGACGCUCAUGCACGAAAGCGUGGGGAGCAAACA